rnacentral:rRNA from 1 species
CAUGCAAGUCGAACGGUAACAGAUCUAAUACAUCCUUCGGGGUGUUGUGAUGCUGACGAGUGGCGGACGGGUGAGUAAUGCAUAGGAAUCUGCCCAGUAGCGGGGGACAACCUGGUGAAAACCAGGCUAAUACCGCAUACGCCCCCUGGUUUAACCACUGGGGGGGAAAGCGGGGGACCUUCGGGCCUCGCACUAUUGGAUGAGCCUAUGUCUGAUUAGCUAGUUGGUAGGGUAAAAGCCUACCAAGGCGACGAUCAGUAGCUGGUCUGAGAGGAUGAUCAGCCACACUGGGACUGAGACACGGCCCAGACUCCUACGGGAGGCAGCAGUGGGGAAUAUUGGACAAUGGGCGCAAGCCUGAUCCAGCAAUGCCGCGUGUGUGAAGAAGGCCUGAGGGUUGUAAAGCACUUUCAAUUGUGAAGAAAAGUCUAAGGUUAAUAACCUUGGACCCUGACGUUAACUUUAGAAGAAGCACCGGCUAACUCCGUGCCAGCAGCCGCGGUAAUACGGAGGGUGCGAGCGUUAAUCGGAAUUACUGGGCGUAAAGCGUACGUAGGUGGCUUGAUAAGUCGGAUGUGAAAGCCCUGGGCUCAACCUGGGAACUGCAUUCGAUACUGUCUGGCUAGAGUAUAGUAGA